rnacentral:rRNA from 1 species
GAUGAACGCUGGCGGCGUGCCUAAUACAUGCAAGUCGAGCGAACAGACGAGGAGCUUGCUCCUCUGACGUUAGCGGCGGACGGGUGAGUAACACGUGGAUAACCUACCUGUAAGACUGGGAUAACUUCGGGAAACCGGAGCUAAUACCGGAUAAUAUAUUGAACCGCAUGGUUCAAUAGUGAAAGACGGUUUUGCUGUCACUUAUAGAUGGAUCCGCGCCGCAUUAGCUAGUUGGUAAGGUAACGGCUUACCAAGGCAACGAUGCGCAGCCGACCUGAGAGGGUGAUCGGCCACACUGGAACUGAGACACGGUCCAGACUCCUACGGGAGGCAGCAGUAGGGAAUCUUCCGCAAUGGGCGAAAGCCUGACGGAGCAACGCCGCGUGAGUGAUGAAGGUCUUCGGAUCGUAAAACUCUGUUAUUAGGGAAGAACAAAUGUGUAAGUAACUAUGCACGUCUUGACGGUACCUAAUCAGAAAGCCACGGCUAACUACGUG